rnacentral:rRNA from 1 species
UACGAAGGGGGCUAGCGUUGCUCGGAAUUACUGGGCGUAAAGGGCGCGUAGGCGGAUCGUUAAGUCAGGGGUGAAAUCCCGGGGCUCAACCUCGGAACUGCCCUUGAUACUGGCGAUCUUGAGUAUGAGAGAGGUAUGUGGAACUCCGAGUGUAGAGGUGAAAUUCGUAGAUAUUCGGAAGAACACCAGUGGCGAAGGCGACAUACUGGCUCAUUACUGACGCUGAGGCGCGAAAGCCAGGGGAGCAAACGGG